GAGCCACAUACCUUAAGGCACCCAUGGGAACAACAUUGGCCACCUUGGACAGACAUCAACUAGGACCCAUUGUUCAUUCCAAAUGCAGAUCUGACUCUGACUCUACUAUGCCCUCAACCAACAGGGAACCUACCAAGAGAGUAGUAAGAGAAAAAGAAUGUGGGUUGACCAAACAUCAGUUUUGUGCACCCUUGAUUAGGACUUACUAAUACUUUUUAGGGUAGAGUUGAAUCAUGUAUAGCUAUAGUUGCACUAGUAGUGUUUCCAAUUUCUUGCCAUUAAAUACUAUUAGUUGUUGUUGUUGCUAGUGCUCUAUUAUUGAUCCGGGGGGAGCUUCCGCAUUAGAUUUCAUUUAUCAGCAAAAUCACAUUAUAUUACUGUAUCAAUAAGCACGUUUAAUUCAUUUAAUAAAAUUCUGCAUUCUGACAA